rnacentral:lncRNA from 1 species
CCAUCUCCUCCUACUACCCCUGCACCUACUGGUUCUCCUCCGCGAACUCAACCACCUCCAGCAUCUUCCCCGCCGCCGGCAGUUUCAUCUCCGCCACCUACAUCAACAUCACCACCUCCAGCUGUAUCAGCUCCACCACAAGCUACACCUCCACCGGCAGCUACUCCUCCUCCAGUGAGUGCUCCACCACCGGCUAGUCCUCCACCACCAGUUAGCUCUCCACCACCGGCUACUCCUCCACCUGUGGCUACCCCACCACCUCCUGCCACUCCACCUCCCAGCCCACCUCCGCCUGCUGCUGCACCUGCACCAGUUGCAACUCCGCCAGAUUCGACUCCGGCUGCUGCACCUACGACUGUAGCCACAUCUCCGGCACCAUCUCCAUUGGGAGUAUUGAGUCCUCCAGCACCUCCCAUGGGUGCUCCAUCCCCGAGUACUC